rnacentral:rRNA from 2 species
GACAGAGGAGCCAAGCGUUGUCCGGAGUUACUGGGCGUAAAGCGCACGCAGGUGGUCGCGCAAGUGCCAUGUGAAAGCCGGUGGCUUAACUGCCGGAGGUCAUGGCAGACUGCGCAACUGGAGCCCGUGAGAGGUUCGUGGAAUUGCCGAUGUAGCAGUGAAAUGCGUAGAUAUUGGCAGGAACACCAAAGGGGAAGCCAGCGAACUGGCACGGCGCUGACACUAAGGUGCGACAGCGUGGGGAGCGAACCGG